CGCCCAGCAACUCCUAUGCCUACCUCCUCGUGGUACCGGCUGGAAACUAUGAGCAACCUAAGGGAAGAUCGGGUAACCAACCCCGGUGGGAACUUUAGUAAUAGGCUGACAAGGUAGG
rnacentral:ribozyme from 1 species